GCCGGCAGCUAGCUCUCUGCAACUCUCACAUGGUCGCCCACUGAAGCUAUAAGCAGGGCUGCGCCCGGUCAGUACCUGGAUGGUCAGUUUACCACAUGGGAAAGCUAGGUUGCUGCCGGAA
rnacentral:rRNA from 1 species